rnacentral:tRNA from 3 species
GGUGGAGUUCCCGAGUGGCCAAAGGGGGCAGACUGUAAAUCUGUUGCGUUUCGCUUCGAUGGUUCGAAUCCAUCCUCCACCACCA